AGCGAGAGCGGCUGUUCUCAAAGUUGCCAGGCAGUGUGGAAACGCCCGCUGAGGGGCACACAGUGAGGCGGCCACUGGCUCUGUGUCCUUGGGGAAGCCCCUUCUGCGGUCCCCUCCAUUGUCUGCGUGACAAAGUGGACGCAGAACUCCCCCAUUUCCUGCCCAGGGCGGGUGAGGACCCUGCACACACACGGUGUGUUUGUGAGCUGUGCAGAGUGGGGUCUCCCUGGCAAUGGCCACAGCCUCCAGAGGCGCUGACACCUCCUGUCUAACUGAUAGACAGUUUCUGCCUCUUCUUGUUUGGGGAUUGGAGAGGGAAGUGCGUCUGGAUGACUACUAAGAUGAGGAGGCUGAGGCCUAGUGCUCCCAGGGGGCUUGGUCAAGAGCAGGAGGCGGAGGUGGUGGAAGGCUGUUUCCCUGCGUGCAGAUGAGCCUCGUCCGAUCAGUUCACAGCUUGAGAGAAAAAGACUGGUCUCCCCAGAAGGACGUCUGCAGCUCUUCCCAGCGUCCCCAGCCUGUCCACCUGCCCCAGUCAAUCAUGGCCUUGCCCUCCUCCACAGUCAGGGCAUAUAUAUGACAAGCGAUUUGGACCAACUCUUUCAUGGAUGGUCUUCAAGUACCUUCCCAGGACUCUGCCUCCCAAGUCCCUGAAGCAACUUAGCCCCAUUCACCCCACCACCAAAAAUGUGAGGAAAAAAAGAUGUGGCCAGGGGGAAUCCCAAAUUGUCAGCAACCCAUCACUCCCAGGCAAAAUCCAAACUGCUGGGCUGUCCCCUUGGACUGAUUUGUGUGCUGGCUUUUGGGGACAGCUAUCCUCUGCACAGUGGACACCAGGCUCUGUUAAGCUGACCUCUGAUGUGCCUUGAGGUUGGUUACCUUGGGCAAGCUGUGUCCCAGCCCCUCUGUUGGAAGACCUGAGCCACUGCAAACUGCUUUGGGGGCAGCUCAACCAAGGCACGUCCACAGCGCAACAUGCCCCACACAAGUCCAACAGCCCAACACUCCUUUCCAACGCAUAGGCCUGUUUUCCGCAGAAGGCACACAACUCACACAUGCUCCGUUUCCAUUUUGCAACCUCACAUCCGUAGGUUUUUCUAACAUUGUUAUGUCCAACAAAUUGCAUCUUUUGCGGCACAUGAUAAAAAGAACUAGGUUAAGCUGAAAUCGUGUAGCCACUUCCCAUGGCCUGGUGAGGAAAUCAGAGUGUGUUUUGCUUUGUAUUCUAUUCCCACCUCAAAGGCGGGAUUAAAAUAGCACUGCUUGUCACGUCUCAUUAUGGAAAUCGGUGUGGCCCUCACAGGGGCGCAGUCAGUUCGGGACUAGGAGCUGCUCUGAAGGUGUGACCUGCCUGCAGUCC